AACGAACGCUGGCGGCAGGCUUAACACAUGCAAGUCGAACGCCUGUAGCAAUACAGGAGUGGCAGACGGGUGAGUAACACGUGGGAACGUGCCCAAAGGUACGGAACAACUCCGGGAAACUGGAGCUAAUACCGUAUGCGCCCGAAAGGGGAAAGAGUUAUCGCCUUUGGAUCGGCCCGCGUCUGAUUAGCUAGUUGGUGGGGUAAUGGCCUACCAAGGCGACGAUCAGUAGCUGGUCUGAGAGGAUGGCCAGCCACACUGGGACUGAGACACGGCCCAGACUCCUACGGGAGGCAGCAGUGGGGAAUAUUGGACAAUGGGCGCAAGCCUGAUCCAGCCAUGCCGCGUGAGUGAUGAAGGCCUUAGGGUUGUAAAGCUCUUUCGCCAGGGACGAUAAUGACGGUACCUGGAUAAGAAGCCCCGGCUAACUUCGUGCCAGCCGCCGCAGUAA
rnacentral:rRNA from 1 species